AAUAGACUAACCAGAAAAUAUAAAGUCUAUUUAAGUUGUUUAUAUUGGAAAAUUAUGGCAAUUUAAUAAUUAAUAGCUCAUUCAGCCGAUCAAUAAAAAAAAAAUCCCAAAACACUUGAACCCACUCACCCUCUCGUCGCACAGUCUGCGCAUGCUCAACUUUUCUCCCCAGAGUUUCGGCCUGUUCCGCCACCACUCGGUGAUUUUCGUCUCUUUGUUACACUGAUAGUGGAUUUAACUCGGAUUCAACCCAAACAUCCAGCGGACUGUGCGGCUCUCAAACAGGCUUUGAUGAGAGGCACUCCAUGAUGAGCAGCUAACGCCGUCGGCCGCACAACCGCAGGAAGAGACGUGGCUGCUGCUCCACCCACAGUCGACGCAUGGCGGUAUUAGGGAACCCCGACAUGCUGACGAGGAAGAUAAAGCUGUGUCACAUCAACGCCCACAUCACAUGUCGCCUGUGUGAGGGCUACCUGAUCGACGCCACCACCGUCACCGAGUGCUUACACACCUUCUGCAGAAGCUGCCUUGUAAAGUAUCUGGAGGAGAACAACACGUGCCCCACGUGUAGGAUUGUUAUUCAUCAGAGCCAUCCACUGCAGUACAUCGGCCAUGACCGAACAAUGCAAGACAUCGUCUACAAGCUGGUACCGGGACUUCAAGAGGCGGAGAUAAAGAAGCAGAGGGAUUUCUAUCAGAAGUUGGGCAUGGAGGUGCCUGGGGACAUUAAAGGAGAGCUGUGCAACAUGAAGACUCAUCUAGAACAGCGAAACGGCGACACAAAAUCAGAAGACACGGCGAAUAAGGAGGCCGGAGAGGAGAAGCCAGAGGAGGACAACGACUAUCACCGUAGUGACGAACAGGUCAGCAUCUGCCUGGAGUGCAACAGCAGCAAACUUCGAGGUCUGAAACGUAAAUGGAUCCGCUGCUCGGCACAAGCCACCGUCCUCCACCUCAAAAAGUUCAUCGCCAAAAAGCUUAACCUGACAUCGUUUAACGAGCUGGACAUUUUAUGCAACGAGGAAAUCCUGGGAAAGGACCACACUUUGAAAUUUGUUGUUGUGACAAGAUGGAGAUUUAAGAAAUCUCCGCUCCUGCUCCAUUACAGACCGAAGAUGGACCUGCUGUAGCUACAACGGACACAAUGGUUGUUUUAUUUGGAUCCUUUUGGUCGGCUCCUUCGCCACAGACUUUGUGUCCCUAACUCUCCUCCGUAGAAACUUUCCCUUCAUUUGUAAGGAUUUUUCUAAUCUGGACUCAUCAGCUCCACUUGCAGCUGUUUGGUGUUUAAAUGUGGAGAAAAGGCAUUUAAAGAAAGAAACGCGUCAGGAUGGUCGUCUCGCUGUCGCAUCUUUAUUCUCACUCCCAGCUGGAGAAGCUGCACAGUCUGCAGGUUCAUGCCUGAAAAAUGUAUUUCACAUUUCACUUUUUGUUUCUGCCGCAAGUAUUUUUUUAAUUUUUUUUUAUUUUUCUGCAGGACAGCCAGCAUUCAAGAACACAAAUUCAGGUUUUAGCAGCGGCUGAGGCGUUACUUGGAGCAUUUUAAUAUUGAAAAUGAGAAUAAAAUGACCACAGCUGGGUCGUUUGGUGCUUUUUAAAUGUGCGUUUGUAACAUUAAGGAGGUUUAUUCUGUCACAACAUGCUGGUCUUAACUGUGAUGCAGCAAAUCUGCUAAAGCUCUUCUCUUCACAUCUUAGAAAAGUUUCUUACAUUUCAGUUUUUCAAAUCUGUUUUUCCCAAGCCAAUGCAGAACUGUCACCGUUUCACAUGUGAAAUGUUUUAUUUAGCAGCUUCUUCAUGAAAUCUUUCAAGAAGUGAAACUGGUAUUUGUUUUUCAGGAUUUCAACUUACAGAAACACAAUAUUUUUACCUUCUGAAUGAAUGACUGGUGUUUACUGACACGCACUGUGUCUCCAUGGCAACAAAUCCAGACAAACGCAGCUGAAACAUCUGCACCAUUAAAGCCCUCACAGCAUGGCUGCUCAUUGUUUUUGGUUUCUGUGAAGCCAUUUUAUUAGAAAUGCAUCAAUUUACUUUUAUUAUUAUAGUUAUUACUUAAAAUGUGUUGUGAAACAAUAUGUAGGAGCUCUGACUGUGAAAAAAUAAGGAACUGCAGCCCAUUUGUGCUGCCACACUUUUUCCUUCCACUUCACUUUCCAUUAACGUUCGUCCAGGUGCAUCUCAGUAAAUAAGUCUAUCUAUGUAAUUUUAGAUUAAUUGCAUCUGUACUGAUGUUUCCAAACCUUUAUUUCUGUUAAUUAUGAUAUUUUUUUAAUUUACAACUCAUGAAAGCUCAUUUAAUUUCUUAAGCUUCUUUAGCAAUAAUUUUCUGUGGCAUUUCUGCUGAUUUUUUACUAAACACAGAAUAUAACAUCAGAGAACAAUAUCAUUUUAUUUGCCAUAAAAAAGUGAAUUUUGAUACAGUUUUAUGAACAGAUUUAUUUUUUAAUUGCACAAUUUCCGGCGGCUUUACUAACUACAAAACAAUCAAGAAAAACUAGGACUUAAACAUCAAAUAAUUUCCAUAAAAUGUACAAAAUUAUGUUUACGGUAAUAAUUCAGUACUUAAAGGUUCUUUACUUGCCGUUUUUCACUUUUUGGCAAAUUUGAUUAAGAUUAAAAACGGCAAAAAUUUUUAUAUUUUCUGUUUUCUUGUGCGAAACUCGGUUAUGAAAUUAGGUUUCAAAUAUUUUUAAUCAGAAAAAGUUAUUCUUCAAAUGGCUUAAAAACCAAAAACAAUGAGCUAACAGAAUUAUUUUUCUUUUCCUUGAUAAAACACUUGAUAUUUAGUAAAUAUCUUUAAAGGUUUUUUUCCUUCCUGACUUUAACAGAAACUCUUAAGUUUGCAUCACAGCUGCUUGAUUUAAUUUUGUUAAACGGUAAAACUCUUCAGUUUGUCAUCUGACAGAGAUAUUUGUUUGUUUAUUCCAGCUUCUCCUCGUCUUUGUUGGUUUCUGCUGAACUUUUUCUGUUUUCUUUAAGGUACAUCAGCUCUUCUUCAGGUGGAGAUGCUGUAAAACACCCAACCUGGUGCUGCUGUGACUAGAAAACAAGGAAAAUCUCACAAACACUCCAAAAACACAAAAUGGUACCAAGUUUUUCUGUCUAGUUUCUAGUGCA